ACUGGAGCAGCUGCGCCGCGAGUGAUGCAGACAGACAAGAUUCUUGAAUAUAAGGCAUGAGUACGGGAAAUAUAUUGCGAUAUUUACAAAUACAGGCAAGACGGGUGUCAUUGGGACGGAGUCUGUCACGCAGCAUCUUCUUCUGGAAAUUGAUGAUUGACUCAAGCAUUGCAUUCUCUUGGAUCUCAGUGGGAGGGAUCACAAUGCUGCAGUCCAUGAAGUCAGCGAUGGCGUUUGUCAGAUCUUUCUCAGUCUGGGCCAAGAAGGCCUCGAGACAGAACACCUGAACACAGAAAGCUUUUAUUCACCUGCACCAAACAAAGUCGGCAACUUUUAAUUUGUGGGAUCUCAUUGCUAAAGCUUUAUGCGGCUGAACUGUUCUCAUCUCUCUCACCCAGUCGGCCAUCAGAGCACCCAUGGCACGGCCACUUUCACUGUAGUCUAUUCCGCCCUGGCUGGGGCCCACCAACACAAACACGAAGCGAACAGGGACAGAUGACUCCAGGACAGAGUCCAUCACCACAGAGUCACUCAGCCUCACAAAAGCCACCACUGGUUUCUGCAGGAUAUCCAGGACACCUAUCAAAAAGACACUUUUAUUUUGUCAUCUGCUCUAGAACCACAUACAAAACCCCUGAGACACAUAACUGGUCUUGAAUUACAUGAACAUACCUGAGAGGACAACCGAGGCCUCCACGUUGUCAGAACUGUCUCUCUGCAAAAACAGCAGAAAAGGUCUGCAUCUGAAUGUCUCCAGAGGGAGUAACCACAGUUCCUUCAGACUGACUGGAAGGACAAAUAAAAUGAACAUAAAGUGCAUGCUGCAAUCACUUUUUGUGGCAAUAUCAUCUUGUAGAAGAAACAUAGACAUAUUGUUUCUUGUGGGUGACCUGCGUUUCAUGAGGAGAGCUCUCAGCAGGUCAUCCCGAUCACUGGCGCGAAUCUCAUUCUUGUUCAACAGCUCAUCAACCACCUUCUCGGCCACAGUGGACAGACUGCUGGCAUUCAGGUCAAAGAUGACAGCACCUGAGGACAUAUGAAUUGCUUUAGAUAAAUAAAUUAAACUAAAACAAGUUCGAUAUUAUCCGAAUGUAUGCACUGAUUUCUGUUGCAUUCAAAAUUCCAAAGUCACCUGUGCUCAUGGUCCUGCGGAGCUCGAUCAGGCUCUUAAAAGUGAGAUAGGAGACAUGAGAAGGACCCCAUUGUCCUGUGCUGGUGUUAAAGUUCUCCUCGUAGCCCACCCAGCGGCCAGUCUCCUGCCAGGUGUUGCCCUGGAGCUCAUUCAGCUCCACAUAGGCCUGUGUUAAUGGAAUGGGGUUUGUUAAUAAACAUACAGGCAGAUAAUGUUAUUUUGAAUUCACUUUUAUGUCUGAUAAGUGUGAAGAAUGUCGACUAACUUGAGCAUCCCCUCUUGUGGUGGCAUUGGUGUUCACGUUCAGAUAAGCUGAAAUAAAGAGACAGAAAAGUGAUUUGUGCACAGAUAUGACAAGUCAAAUCACCAACAGCUGCAUAGCUUGUGAAGGGAGCCUACCCUCUGAAUCACUGGGGAUGACAAUGGCCUCCACAGGUGGCUCAUCCUCCUCUUCCUCUUCCUGCAUCCUCUUCUCCAGGUUGUAGAUGCCGCUCUGGCCUGGUGAAGUCCUGAUGGUGUGACAAAAAAACCCAAACAUUAAUAAAGACUAAGGAUGACUGCUUCAUAACAACACCUAAUGUUUCAUCAGACCGUAUGAACGACAUGCAAGAGACUCAGCUCACUGUUUGGAAAAUGCACUCCCAUAAUUGUGUCUGUAAGUUAAACAGACUUUGAGUCCUGUAACGGUAGUUAGCAAAUAGUUUAAAAUCCAUUCAAGUAGGACUCAGUUUAGGCGGAUCAAGAUCUCCAUAACUGUCAAAUUCCUCUAUUUGUGCUAUUCUAUCCUAGGCCACAAGAGGGCAAGAUUGCUCAACCUAUUUCUUAUCAAUGACUUCUUGGUGUGUUA